CAGAGAAGAGACAGAUGGGUGGCCUCUCUGUCUUGAUUUUUUUUGUAUAUUAUAUGUUAACAUGAAUUCUAACAAGGAUUCCACUGGACUGAGUCUUAUUACUCUGUGCUCCAUCCGGGAAAACAGACAUAUUUCUAGGCACUUUCGGAACGAUGGAGUGUAUGGGAAAAUCCCCCCCAACUGUUGGAGGAAGCCAUAGACACAAACAGAGGAGAGUUGGGGACUACCUGCUGUUUAAACAGAUAGCAUGGCCUGUGUGGCCGCGGCUGCUAAGGCCCCUGAACUUCACUCCACUUCAGAUGUUUAAGAGUCCCAGCGAGGGCAUUGCAGUUCUCCUGAGAAAUAAGCAACUACUUGGCCAGAACAGCCUUUGGAUCCGAGGGUGGACCGCCAGCGGCGAUGUUGAACUCUUCUGCUGAUUGGUCAGCGGACAUGCAGAACAUCCUCCAGGGAGCUGAUGCUUGGGUGGUUCGGGAGAUUACCAGGCAGCCGUGCAAUUAAGUCAAAUAAGCUUGAGGAGAAUGACUUAAUGUGCAUCAGGCCCCUGCUGAGAAUACAAAUUAUGGAGAAUAUCUACUGUAGUGGGAGUUCACAAGAAAUGCACAUUACGGUUGGUAUAUAUACUGUACAAAUUCAGAUGUGUUGUUGUUUAAUUCCAACUAUUAAUGAGUGAGUAAAUUGACUGUGAUUAAAACCCAAAGCACAUGAUUUAUGUAAUCAAACUCUAUGGUUCAAUUUACAGGCAACAACCUGAAUGCUAACACUGUAUGAGUAAAACCAUUCUGGCUUUUGAUUAUUGUCAAUAAAUAUUUGUUUGAAAUCUC